AUCUCACUUACACAAAGGACUAAGCCCUGGUGCUAUAGUGGCAAUUGUGAUGGCAAAUUGUGUAACAUUACUGGUUGUGAUUUCGUUUUUAGUUGCGUAUUACUGUGGUAGAGAUAGAAGUAGUAGUGCAAGUUCAAAAGCGGGUAGUGAGAGUGGAAAGAGGAGGAAGAGUGGGAGUAGUUAUGGGAGUGAAAAGAGAGUGUAUGCAAACGAGGGUGGAGAUAGUGAUGGGACUAAUGCUACAGACAGGAGUAAGCUAGUGUUCUUUGACAGGAAGAAGCAGUUUGAACUUGAGGACCUAUUGCGUGCGUCGGCAGAGAUGCUUGGGAAAGGGAGCUUGGGGACUGUAUAUAAGGCGGUGCUCGAUGAUGGUUGUACAGUGGCUGUCAAGAGGUUGAAGGAUGCAAACCCUUGUGCUAGGAAGGAGUUUGAACAGUAUAUGGAUGUGAUUGGGAAACUUAAGCACCCAAAUAUUGUGAGACUUGCAGCUUACU
rnacentral:lncRNA from 1 species